rnacentral:rRNA from 1 species
GGCGGCUCGAGUGGUGGCCACUAUUACUGGGCUUAAAGCGUUCGUAGCUGGUUUGUUAAGUCUCUGGGGAAAUCUUCCGGCUUAACCGGAAGGCGUCUCAGGGAUACUGGCAGACUAGGGACCGGAAGAGGUGAGAGGUACUCCAGGGGUAGGAGUGAAAUCCUGUAAUCCUUGGGGGACCACCUGUGGCGAAGGCGUCUCACCAGAACGGCUCCGACAGUGAGGGACGAAAGCUGGGGGAGCAAACCG